rnacentral:rRNA from 1 species
GCAGAUUACUAACUCAGAAAGAAAAAUCACAUAGACCGAAUAUUAAAUGUACACUAUAGUUACAAGUACGAAACAAAACAAACAGCAGGUUGCAAGUACUCUUAAAAUCUGAACCUUACAAAGUAUUACAUAUCUCAAUUUUACAAAAAUUAGGUGUUUGGAACAAUACACAAGGUUCACCUACAAGUUUCAGAAAUUUGCAAAAAGUAAAGAGAGAAGAGGAGCGGCACCUGUUUGGGUUCAGAGAAGAAGCGCAGAAUAGGAGGUAAAGAAAAGGAGCAGCAGCGUGAGGGCUUUGAGAGGAGUAGCAGCAGGGGCGUGAGAGGAGCAGCAGAGAGAGUUGAGGAAAAGGAUCAACAGUAGGGGUUCAGAGGAGAAGGCAACAACAAUGGGGGUCAGAGAAGAGAAGCAGCAGCAAGACGUGGGAGAAGGAGCAGCAGGGGCAUCUGGGUGAGAGAAGCAGCAGAGAGGGUUGAGGGCGAACAGCAGCAGGUUGAAGAAGAGAGGUGGAGGAUGGCGUGGGGCACCAGACAACCACGACCUCUAGUCUUGUAGGGCGCGCGAGGUGAUGGUGGCUGGAUGUGAUGGCGCCUGGUGGAUGGAUGGGUUGCGGUAGCGCGGGUGGAGGUGCUGCAGCGUUGUGGAGUGGGUGGAGGUACUGGGUGGCACGCCGCCAUGCUGGCCUGGCCGCGGUGACGGCCAGAGGUGGAGAAGAAGGUUGGGGGAGAGGGAUAUGUAGCCAGGCCCAAAGGGGAUCGAUGGUUGCCGCUAGGGAUUUGAUCCCCUCCUCUGAUCUGCCAGUUUUGCUCUUUUGCCCUUCCACUUCUCUUCUCUCUUCACAAGAUGAUCCCUCCAACUUUAUCUU